AGUGAACGCUGGCGGUAGGCCUAACACAUGCAAGUCGAACGGCAGCACAGUAAGAGCUUGCUCUUACGGGUGGCGAGUGGCGGACGGGUGAGGAAUACAUCGGAAUCUACUUUUUCGUGGGGGAUAACGUAGGGAAACUUACGCUAAUACCGCAUACGACCUACGGGUGAAAGCAGGGGAUCUUCGGACCUUGCGCGAUUGAAUGAGCCGAUGUCGGAUUAGCUAGUUGGCGGGGUAAAGGCCCACCAAGGCGACGAUCCGUAGCUGGCCUGAGAGGAUGAUCAGCCACACUGGAACUGAGACACGGUCCAGACUCCUACGGGAGGCAGCAGUGGGGAAUAUUGGACAAUGGGCGCAAGCCUGAUCCAGCCAUACCGCGUGGGUGAAGAUGGCCUUCGGGUUGUAAAGCCCUUUUGUUGGGAAAGAAAAGCAGCAGGUUAAUACCCCGCUGUUCUGACGGUACCCAAAGAAUAAGCACCGGCUAACUUCGUG
rnacentral:rRNA from 1 species